CCCGGUGCUGGCGCACUGGGACCAGCCCUCGCCGGUCGCGCCGGUGGACCCGGCGGAGACCGCCGCGGUGGCGCGGGUGCCGAUCGCGCACCUGGCC
rnacentral:tRNA from 1 species